GACGAGCGCUGGCGGCGUGCCUAACACAUGCAAGUCGAACGGAGUUGACCUUCGGGUUAACUUAGUGGCGAACGGGUGAGUAACGCGUGAGAAACCUGCCUUUCAGUGGGGGACAACAGUUGGAAACGACUGCUAAUACCGCAUAAUGUCAUUUGGGGGCAUCCCCGAAUGACCAAAGAUUUAUUGCUGAAAGAUGGUCUCGCGUCUGAUUAGCUAGAUGGCGGGGUAACGGCCCACCAUGGCGACGAUCAGUAGCCGGUCUGAGAGGCUGAACGGCCACAUUGGGACUGAGAUACGGCCCAGACUCCUACGGGAGGCAGCAGUGGGGAAUAUUGGGCAAUGGGCGAAAGCCUGACCCAGCAACGCCGCGUGAAGGAAGAAGGCCUUCGGGUUGUAAACUUCUUUUACCAGGGACGAAAAUUUGACGGUACCUGGAGAAAAAGCAACGGCUAACUACGUGCCAGCCGCCGCCGUAACAC
rnacentral:rRNA from 1 species